rnacentral:rRNA from 1 species
UACGGAGGGUGCAAGCGUUAUCCGGAUUCACUGGGUUUAAAGGGUGCGUAGGUGGGUUGGUAAGUCCGUGGUGAAAUCCCCGAGCUUAACUCGGGAACUGCCGUGGAUACUAUCAAUCUUGAAUAUCGUUGAGGUAAGCGGAAUGUGUCAUGUAGCGGUGAAAUGCUUAGAUAUGACAUAGAACACCGAUAGCGGAGGCAGCUUACUAAGCGAUUAUUGACACUGAGGCACGAAAGCGUGGGGAUCAAACAGG